UGGGGAAUAUUGGACAAUGGGGGGAACCCUGAUCCAGCCAUGCCGCGUGUGUGAAGAAGGCCUUAUGGUUGUAAAGCACUUUAAGCGAGGAGGAGGCUCUCUUGGUUAAUACCCAAGAAGAGUGGACGUUACUCGCAGAAUAAGCACCGGCUAACUCUGUGCCAGCAGCCGCGGUAAUACAGAGGGUGCGAGCGUUAAUCGGAUUUACUGGGCGUAAAGCGUGCAUAGGCGGCUUUUUAAGUCGGAUGUGAAAUCCCCGAGCUUAACUUGGGAAUUGCAUUCGAUACUGGGAAGCUAGAGUAUGGGAGAGGAUGGUAGAAUUCCAGGUGUAGCGGUGAAAUGCGUAGAGAUCUGGAGGAAUACCGAUGGCGAAGGCAGCCAUCUGGCCUAAUACUGACGCUGAGGUACGAAAGCAUGGGGAGCAAACAGG
rnacentral:rRNA from 1 species